CUCUGUUCUUAGUCACCAUGCAGAUACAGCAUGCUGAUAAAGAGUCCCCUUUGUAGUGCAUACACCCAUUUAUGAGUAAUGAGUAUCUAUAUUUCAUAGAUUCAUUUUAGUGUAGAAUUGACCCAUUAAAUAUAUCUGAAGUGGUUACUUUCUCCUUUACAUCACAAGGAUGACACCUGGCUUCUCAUGACAUGGCUACCUGGUCAAAUGGAACUUUGAGCUUAUACCUUCCCGCUACUCAGGUAUUGUGUAUGUGCUUGGACAUGCAGACAGAGCUCACGUUAAUUUAGAAAAUACUGACAGUACAUAACCUGACAAUCCUUUUCCUUGCCCCAGACAUUCAAGGCAGAGCAAGCCAUGAGCAUGCUGGUUCAGCUGUCACAGUAAUGAAACCAAAGCUGAUAGGGGCUAGCAGUUUGGGACUGUGGGAGAUGAACAGCUCAGCAUGGUGCCUGAAUAGGUUUGUGCAUGUUUUCAGGCUCAUAUUUUCAAAUUGGACAUCAAAUGGAUUGUUUUCCUAAUAUAUCGUGAACAUACCGAAGAGUCAAAAUAGAAACUCCCAUUAAGAGCAUAAUUGUCAAUGCAGUGGGUGAGGAGAUUGGAGCCUGUCAUGUCCUUUUCAGGUUUCACAUCUACACUAAUGGUAUUUUCCUGGUGACUGACUUUAAUCAAAUUCUCCCAUCUUCUGGUGACCUCAGCGCAAGCAUCUUCAUAACUGGGUUGGAAGGAGGAGCAUCUAAUUAAGAUCACAUUCAUACUUGAAAUCUCUCUGCCCAGUGGGGAUAGAAAACAUUGUCACUCAGUGUUGGGAGUGGAUAAUGAUAUUAAAUGCUUUCCCCACAGGCAACACAGUACAACCAGGGCUCGGGCUUCAGGACUUCUGACUCCUUGAAAGAAGGUGGCCAGGCAUGGUUUUAGGGAGUCAGUAGCAAAGUUGACCUAAGGGAUUUGGUAUUCUUUGCCUCUUCUCUGGCAGGCAUGGAGUUUUCUAACCUGGGGUCCACAGUGAACUUGAGAUGCCCGAUUUAUUGAGGUAUAAUUUACAAACAGUAAAAUAUUCUGGGUUUUGGUGUUUGAGUUUCAGGAUUUUGACUAAGUAUACAGUAGUGUGUUAACUGUGACAGCUCCCAAAAAAGUAGAGAGCCAUAGAGAACUUCAGAGUACAGUUCCUUGGACAGAAAGAGGCUCUUAGAGAGUUGUUUAUGGAGAAGCAGCCACUUCCUGUGAGUACUUUCCACUUCCUUUCCAUCACUUUCCAUUACCCAGAUCAUGUCUUUCCUGGGCUUGGUUUAAGUUGGACCUCAGACUCUGCACAUGGUCAGAAUCUCUUGAAAUCAGUGACACUUUGAGGCCCAUGCCCUUGACAGUGACAAAAACCAUGCUUCUGUUUGCUUAGGUUUUUCCUUACCACUAAACACAGAAGUUCUACAUACUAGGUAGGCACUUACUUCAUUGCUGUGGCAAAAUGCCCAAGGGAAACAACCCAAGGCAGAAAGGGUUUGUUUAGGAUUAUAGUUCUAAGGGAUGCAGCCCAGCACAAGAAGGAGCAAAUAGUGAGAGGAGCAGGAAGCGGCUGGUCACCAGGGUGACAGGAGCAGGAAGUGACUGGUCACCUGGGUGACAGGAGCAGGAAGUGGCUGGUCACCUGGGUGACAGGAGCAGGAAGUAGCUGGUCACCUGGGUGACAGGAGCAGGAAGUGGCUGGUCACCAGGGUGCAGGAGCAGGAAGUGGCUGGUCACCUGGGUGACAGGAGCAGGAAGUAGCUGGUCACCUGGGUGACGGGAGCAGGAAAUGGCUGGUCACCAGGGUGACGGGAGCAGGAAGUAGCUGGUCACCAGGGUGACAGGAGCAGAGAGUGUCUGGUCACCUGGGUGACAGGAGCAGGAAGUAGCUGGUCACCAUGGUGACGGGAGCAGGAAGUGACUGGUCACCAGGGUGACAGGAGCAGGAAGUGCCUGGUCACCUGGGUGACGGGAGCAGGAAAUGGCUGGUCACCAGGGUGACGGGAGUAGGAAGUAGCUGGUCACCAGGGUGCAGGAGCAGGAAGUGCCUGGUCACCAGGAUGCAGGAGCAGGAAGUAGCUAGUCACCUGGGUGACAGGAGCAGGAAGUAGCUGGUCACCUUGCAUCCAUAGUCAAGAAGCAGAGGAGUCCACACCUGUGCUCAGCUUGCUUUCAUCUUUUCACUGCAUUUCAGGCAGGCUGUGAAAGUGAGUCAGCCCCCACCUUCCUGCUUACAUGGAUGAAGCUGGGUAGAUACCAGAGAGGAAACUCAACCUUCAGGAUGUAGACACCCCUGCUUUCGCGGAGGCAGAGGGUGAGACUGAGCACUGCCAGGAAGGAGCCUUCGGUACCGGUUCUCAGCUUCCUGCUCCAGCAGCCAUGCCUAGAGCCUGCUACCUGCUCCCUGCUACCACACUGUCUCCACCAUUACAGACUCGAACACUCUGGACCUGUAAGACUAAGUAAACCCUUCCUUCCACAAGUUGCCUGGGUCAUGAUGCUUUAUCACAACAGGGAAGUAACUGAUACAGCUCAGUAUCAGCAAUUAAUACUAAGAAUUAGUCACAAUACAGGAAGAUGUGGAUGCCUAUAAGGGAACACCAUUCAGUUCAUAGUAACGCCUCUCUGCCUCUGAUGCAGACCUUUGAGAACAGUCCAGGCCCUUUGUAAACCCACACAGGUCAUUCUCCCCUUAUAAACCUGAGUGAGUAAAUGAAGUUCCCUUUUGUUGGUUGGCUUAAGUCAUAGUUACAGGAAUAUUUCACCCAAGCUUUCUGCAGCUGUAGAGAAAGAAAAGAUGGGGUUGAGGUUGUGUGAAGGACCAGGGAGCCGCCAGAGAAACAACCCAUGAUGUGUGAGGCAAGAGAAGUACUUAGCCUGAUUGACUCAACAGCACAUGACUCAAGAUUCAGAGUGGACAAAGAUGGAACUUCCAGGUGGGGAGCACCUUCUAUAUUUGGCUGCUGUAACAGGAAACUGUGGCUGU